ACAAGAGUGUGGAAAGGGGCGGUGGUAGUUAGUUGGUGGCAGAUGUUGUCCGGAAUCACAUGGCGGAAAGCGCGCGCAGGCGGCUAUGUGCGGCCGGGGUGAAAGACCAGAGCUCAACGCUGGGACUGCCUUGGAUACGGGAUGGCUUGGGGAUCUGAGAGGCAAGGGGAAUUCCACGUGUAGCGGUGAAAUGCGUAGAGAUGUGGAGGAACACCUGUGGCGAAGGCGCCUUGCUGGCCGAUUUCUGACGCUGAGGCGCGAAAGCGUGGGGAGCAAACAGGAUUAGAUACCCUGGUAGUC
rnacentral:rRNA from 1 species